rnacentral:ncRNA from 2 species
CGCCGAUUUCGUGGUCCUUUGGCCGGCCGGCUUGCAGCCACGUUAAACAAAUCGCUAAAGAGGCCGUGCGCGCACCCGG